rnacentral:lncRNA from 1 species
GCCUUUAUUUUUAUUUUUGGUGCAACGUCGGCUCACACAUAACGAGUAUGAAUGCAGCCAACAAAGUCAGAAACAAUAGGUUACAAAAAGGUCCAGGCACGAACCCACUGUCCAGCCAGACAAACCCACCAGAGUGAUGGACUGCAAAGAAGGCAACCCAAUCAGCAACUCCAUUUGCCUCUCUGUAGACGAGUGAGGCAUGAUAAGAGUGACACUCUCCUAGCAAUCUGUGAAUCUCGUGGAUCAGCGGCCGGUUCUCAGCU